GUUAACCUGCCAACCAUUGUUAUAUAACACAGACCCUCCUCUGCCAUGUGGACAGUGCCAUCCCGUGCAACCACAGGGAGCUCACUGAGCGGGACUGAGAUGAUGGAUGCUGGUCCGGGAAAUUCUGCGCAUGCGUGGCGCCAUCCCAUGAACUCCCUUGGAAGUCGCGUCUCGUCUCUACUUCUCAGAGAUCCUGAAGAGAUUGAAAAGGAAGAGCAGGCCGCGGCUGAAACGGCUGUGGCCAGGAGGAAUUUCAGGGUGAAUGGACUGCUCCAACUCCCGAAUUUACUGCUACCCAACCAGAGGUCGCCGGCUGGUCGGAAGGUGCAGGUGUCCCCUGAGCCUGUUCAGCAGUUCCCUACUGAGUCUGACUGGUCUGCAACUGCCACUGCUCAGGCCACCAAACGGGUGGGUACAACCACUGAAUGGUCUUAGUCUGUCCUUCCACAGACUGUUCAACAGAAAAUGGAAGUAAGGUUGAUGGAAAAUAAACAGCUUCUAAGAAAAAAGAACGAAAACAGAGCGAGACUCAAACCGUGAGAGUGUCAGAAGGGAAAAUCUCAGGCCAUGAUCUUUCAACAUCAAUGAUGCUGUCAGUCAUCAUAGAGAUCCCUUUGACAAGUCAGAAACUUGCCAAAUAUUACUGUGGCCAAUGCUAUUGUGAAGGAAACAGGAAGAAACAUGAUUCUCUGUACCAAGACUACUAGCAGCUUUCUUGGAAAUGAGGUAACACUUAGAAGGUGGACCUGAGUGCUCAAGUGCCUUUAGUGGGUCUGUAGCAUUCAUUAAGCACUGACUGCAUACAAAUCCUUCAGUGGGAUAGCUGCAGCUGGAGAACCCACUGCAGACCUGAUCCAUGCAGUCUCUGCAUGAGAAGCUUAUUAUCUCAUUAAGAAGCCCUAAAACAGGGGCAUGCCCAGCGGCGCAGUGGUUAAGUGUGCAUGUUCCGCUUCGGUGGCCUGGGGUUCGCCAGUUUGGAUCCCAGAUGUGGACAUGGUACAGCUUGUCAAGCCAUGCUGUGCAGCCCAACGAAGAGAGGCAGAGCAAAAAUUCCAGAGGAGCUCAAACGAAGAUCUUGCCUGUCAAGGGAACUGCCACAGCCUCCCCUGUUUUGCCUGCCCUCUGUGAAGAAGGAGACGGAGAGAAAGAUAACCCCAGGGUGAGCAGGAGAACCACUUUGGGAAAUGUAUUCCCGCAGCACCCGGGAAGGAGCGGGCUAAUUGGCUCCAGAGGCGGCGCGGGCAGGUAGGAUCGCGCCGUCCUGUAGGAUCGCGCCGUCCUUUAUUGACUGGUGCAGUCACUUGUUGGGAACCCGUGUUCAUUAGCUGUGUGUAAAGUGAUAUUAGAGGAGAGACGCUGGGUCCUGUGCUGAAUGAUUGAGCGCCCCACCUGAUGGGAGGUGCAUUAUGUAAAAGGGCCUGCCAGAGUAAUCGAGUUACUUAAGUGGAUGUGUUGAGCGUAUCGGAGAGGGUGCUGCUGCGAGAAUGCAAGAUCAGGGACGCUGAAAUGUGAAAGGCGAUUCUACCUUGACUCUAAUAAGCCCUCAGCCUUUUGAUACCCAUUCUCCACAUCUCUCUCUAGUGACUCUGAAACUAAAGGGUCUUCCCACUUGGCCUGUGCUAAUUCUUCAGGUUUCUAUGGCAAAGGUGGGUAAGGGAGCUGCCAGGAUCUGUUUGUCCAGCAGACCCAGGAGGAAAGUGGAGAGGUCAGCUCUUCUUCCUUCAAAUCUUCCUUAGUCCUUUCUGUGACAUGAGGAAGCUCACUGGCUAGUCCCU
rnacentral:lncRNA from 1 species